AUACGGAGGAUGCGAGCGUUAUCCGGAUUUAUUGGGUUUAAAGGGUGCGUAGGCUGUGCGUUAAGUCAGGGGUGAAAUGCCGUCGCUCAACGACGGAGCUGCCCUUGAUACUGGCGUGCUGGAGUACGGAUGCCGUUGGAGGAAUGAGUGGUGUAGCGGUGAAAUGCUUAGAUAUCACUCAGAACACCGAUUGCGAAGGCAUCUGACGAAUCCGUCACUGACGCUGAGGCACGAAAGCGUGGGGAUAGAACAGGAUUAGAUACCCGGGUAUUCCACGCCGUAAACGAUGAUGACUAACCGUCGGCGAUAGACAGCCGGUGGCCAAGCGAAAGCGAUAAGUCAUCCACCUGGGGAGUACGGCGGCAACGAUGAAACUCAAAUGAAUUGACGGGG
rnacentral:rRNA from 1 species